UACGUAGGGUGCGAGCGUUAAUCGGAAUUACUGGGCGUAAAGCGUGCGCAGGCGGUUCGUUGUGUCGGUGGUGAAAGCCCCGGGCUUAACCUGGGAAUGGCCUUGGAAACUGGCGAACUGGAGUGUGGCAGAGGGGGGUGGAAUUCCGCGUGUAGCAGUGAAAUGCGUAGAGAUGCGGAGGAACACCGAUGGCGAAGGCAGCCCCCUGGGCUAGCACUGACGCUCAGGCACGAAAGCGUGGGGAGCAAACAGG
rnacentral:rRNA from 1 species